AAUAUACUUCCUCCGUCCCAAAAUUUCUUGUCUUAGAUUUGUCAAGGUAUAAAUGUAUCUAGUCACGUUUUAGUAUUUUGAUACAUCCAUUUGUAAGCAAACCUAAGACAAGAAUUUUGGAACGGAGGGAGUAUGUG
rfam:Hordeum vulgare subsp. vulgare, WGS project CAJW01000000 data, contig: morex_contig_146237